GUCCCAAGCUUAAUUUGUUCGUAUACCUAGGUUCCCCACAGAAUUUGGACUUAGAUACGCUUUAGUGCUACUUAUAAUUGAUUUUGACGUGUUCUGGAUUUGGAUGGGAAACUUACAUGUGAGAGUGAUGCAAAGAGGGCAUCAAAGAUGGAUGGACCAAUGCAUUCAUUGUUGGAGCGUGAUCCACGACCAUGUUCUCUUUUAUUAGUGGUAGGCGAAUGCAUGAUCACCUGGA
rnacentral:lncRNA from 1 species